rnacentral:rRNA from 1 species
AACAUCGCCUCCUGCAAAAUUCAACGUAUAGGAGGUCCUGCCUGCCCAGUGACUUUGUUAAAUGGCCGCGGUAUUUUGACCGUGCUAAGGUAGCGCAAUCACUUGUCUUUUAAAUGAAGACCUGUAUGAAAGGUAAGACGAGGGCUUAACUGUCUCCCUUCUCUGGUCAAUGAAAUUGAUCUGCCCGUGCAGAAGCGGACAUGAAUAUACAAGACGAGAAGACCCUGUGGAGCUUAAGACAUAAGCCAAUUGUGUCAAGAGCCUUAAUUUAAAAAGACCAAACUAAGCAGUAACUGGCUAAUGUCUUCGGUUGGGGCGACCACGGGGAAAAAUAAAGCCCCCACGUGGGUUGGGAUUAUUCCUAGAACCAAGAAAGACAUUUCUAAGUCACAGAACAUCUGACCAUAUUAGAUCCGGCCUACAAGCCGAUCAACGAACUAAGUUACCCCAGGGAUAACAGCGCAAUCCUCUUUAAGAGUUCAUAUCGACAAGAGGGUUUACGACCUCGAUGUUGGAUCAGGACAUCCUAAUGGUGCAACCGCUAUUAAGGGUUCGUUUGUUCAACGAUUAAAGUCCUACGUGA